UAAUAUAAUAAUAAAGUAUGGAAGGGAUGCCUUGGAAGAAAAUAAUAGGCGUGAUUAAUCAUGCAAAGUGUUGGCACGAGGAAAACCUGUGAGACGCCAGAUCACGGAUCCUAAUACGGUAAACCGGAGCUAUAAAGCUCGCUGUUAAGCAGUAUUAAGGGGAAGUGAAACAUCUCAGUACCCCUGUAAACCAAAUCAACCGAGACGUCGUUAGUAGUGGUGAGCGAAAGCGAUAAAAGGCAAAACGAAAUAAAUUGUUUUAAAUUUUAAUUUAAAUACAAGCAAAAGAGUGAAGUGAUAAUAAAUUAUCUACCUGAGAAGGUGUUAGUCCUGUAAUAAUUUUUUUUUUCGUGAUAGUAGGGUAAGGCAAGUUUACCUCACCCGAGUAUUGGGGGACCCACCUCAAAGCCUAAGGUUUUUUUCUUACCGAUAGUGAACAAGUACCGUGAGGGAAAGGUGAAAAGAAUUGUGAUUGUGCAAAGAACCUGAAAUUCCAUAUUUGAGUCGAAGCAGUUUAAUGCAACGGCAUACCUUUUGUAUAAUGGGCAAGUGAAUCUUAGUAAAGGGCAAGCUUAAUCUAUUAAAGUGAAGGCGAAGAGAAAUCGAGUCUUGAAUGGCGUUUUAAAGUCCUUUGCUAAGUACCCGAAACCGGCUGAUCUAAACUUGAGCAGGCUGAUAUUGUAGUGGCAACACUCUUUGGAGGGCCGAACCCGUGUAUGUGGCAAAAUACUGGGAUGACUUGAGUUUAGGGGUGAAAGGCCAAUCAAAGUCGGUGAUAGCUGGAUUUCUGCGAAAUCUAUUGAAGUAGAGCGUUUUAUUUAGAAAGUCUGGGGUAGAGCACUGUGCAAGCAAGGGGGAGAUAAUCUCUUACUAAACUUUGGCAAACUCCGAAUACAGAUUUUUUCAUUUAGAGCAGACAGAGUAUGCGUGCAAAGAUGCAUACUCGAGAGGGAAACAGCCCAGACUGUUAGCUAAGGUCCAUAAAAUAGUUUCAGUGGUAAAGGUGACAUUUGCUCCGAGACCGUCAGAAGGUAGGCUUGGAAGCAGCCAUUCUUUUAAGACAGCGUAACAGCUCACUGACCUAGAGUAAUAGUCCGCCAAUUAUAGGGCUUAAAACUAUUACCGAAGCUCCGAGACAAAUUAUUUGUGGUAGCAGAACCUUCCGUAGUCAUAAAAGUUUUAUUGUAAAGUAAAAUGAAGAUAUCGGAGGUGAGAAUACUUGCAUGAGUAGCAUAAAACAAUGAAAUUAAAGCAUUGUGGGCCGUAAGUCCAAGGUUUCGAUCCUAAGUAAAGCUAGGUCGUGAGAGGUAAAAACCUCAAAUUAAAACGGUCCCUAAGCUGUCCCGGAAGGCCUCCAGUAAUGGGCAAGAUUACGAAUAAUCUGUUAAGAGUUGCUGACGAAAAAUUCACUUUAUUCUUGAGACUGUCAAGGGUGAUUUAUUUUUUCCAAGAAAAAGGCACUCUAUAUGAACCGUACCUUAAACACCACAGGUGGACAGGUGGAGUACACUAAGGCCUUGAGAUAACCCUGUUGAAGGAACUCGGCAAAAUGACUCUGUAACUUCGGAAUAAGGGGUAAAGUUAUUAGCGUAAGCUUUUAUCUUUGACACAAAAUCGGGGGUGGCGACUGUUUAUUAAAAACACAGGUCUCUGCUAACUCGCAAGAGGAUGUAUAGGGACUGACACCUGCCCGGUGCCGGCAGGUAAAGCUUGAAUGUUUACGCGUUUAAGUCAAACCCCGGUAAACGGCGGCUGUAACUAUGACGGUCCUAAGGUAGCGAAAUUCCUUGUCGGGUAAGUUCCGACCCGCAUGAAUGGUGUAACGACUUCCCCGCUGUCUCCAACAGGGACUCAGUGAAAUUACAUAGGUCGUGAAGAUGCGACCAUCCUGCAGCUGGACGGAAAGACCCCGUGCACCUUUACUAUAAGCAAGUAUUGUAAAUCAAAGACUUAAGUGUAGAAUAGGUGGGAGCCGGCGACUUAUUCUCGCUAGAGAUUAAUGAGGCAGUAGUGAAAUACCACCCAAAGAUCUGUUGAUUUACUAACAACAACAACAACUAAAGGACAGUGCUUGCUGGGUAGUUUGACUGGGGCGGUCGCUCCUAAAGAGUAACGGAGGCAUACAAAGGUAGGCUCAUCCCCCUAUAAGGAGUCGAGUGUAAUGGCAUAAGCCUGCUUGACUGUAAGAAAUACAUUUCAAUCAGGGACGUAAGUCGGUCAUAGUGAUCCGGUGGUUCUUCGUGGAAAGGCCAUCGCGCAAUGGAUAAAAGGUACGCCGGGGAUAACAGGCUAAUGAUCCUCUAGAGUCCCUAUCGACGGGUUCGUUUGGCACCUCGAUGUCGACUCAUCACAUCCUGGAGCUGGAAAAGGUUCCAAGGGUUCGGCUGUUCGCCGACGAAAGUGGUACGUGAGUUGGGUUUAGAACGUCGUGAGACAGUUUGGUCCCUAUCUUCUGUGGGUGUUUGAAAAUUAAGAGGACUAAACCUUAGUACGAGAGGACCGGGAAACUUGAUCCCUUGUGUUCCGGUUGUUCCCACAGGGCAACGCGGGUAGCUACAUCAAGAAGAGAUAAUCGACCAUUUCGGCGAGAAACUCUCCUCAAGUAAAAUUUUCGUGAGUAGGUGGAAGAUUACCACUUGGAUAGGCGGGAAGUGUAAGAGCUGUAAAGUUUUCAGCUGAUCCGUACUAAUAUCUCAAUAAGGUUUUU
rnacentral:rRNA from 1 species